rnacentral:lncRNA from 1 species
AUAACUAAUCAGACCCUCAGAACAUCAUCGAAAGUGCUAGAUACCGUAAGCACAAGCUCGCCAUUGGCACACACUGCCUCUCGCGCGAAGAUGAGAAGUGCUAGAUACUGUAAGCACAAGAUUGCCGCAGACACAUAACACCACUUGUGAGGAAUAACUAAUUAGACCCUCAGAACGCUGUCGAGAGUGCUAGAUAUCAUAGGCACAAGCUCGCUGCUGGCACACACUGCCUCUUAUGCGAAGAUGAGAAGUGCUAGAUAUCGUAGGUACAAGAUCGCCGUAGGCACACUAUGCUACUCGUGAGGAUAACUAAUUAGACCCUUGAAAUACCACCGAGAGUGCAAGAUGUCGUAGGCAUAAGCUCGCCGUUGGCACAUAGUACCUCUCCCAUGAAGACGAGAAGUACUAGAUGUCGUGGGUAUAAGAUCGCCGCAGACACAUAAUGCCAGUCGUGAGGGAUAACUAAUUAGACCUUCAGAAUACCGUCGAAAGUGGAGGAUGCCAUAGGCACAAGCUCGCCGCUAGCACACACUACCUCUCACGCGAAAAUAAGAAGUGCUAGAUGCCAUAGGCACAAGAUCACCGCAGGCACACAAUACUACUAGUAAAAGAUAACUAAUC